rnacentral:rRNA from 1 species
AACCUGGCGGCGUGCUUACCAUGCAAGUCGAACGAUGACUUCUGUGCUUGCACAGAAUGAUUAGUGGCGAACGGGUGAGUAACACGUGAGUAACCUGCCCCUGACUUCGGGAUAAGCCUGGGAAACCGGGUCUAAUACCGGAUACAACGGACCACCGCAUGGCGGUCCGUGGAAAGCUUUAUGCGGUUUUGGAUGGACUCGCGGCCUAUCAGCUUGUUGGUUGGGGUAAUGGCCCACCAAGGCGACGACGGGUAGCCGGCCUGAGAGGGUGACCGGCCACACUGGGACUGAGACACGGCCCAGACUCCUACGGGAGGCAGCAGUGGGGAAUAUUGCACAAUGGGCGGAAGCCUGAUGCAGCGACGCCGCGUGAGGGACGAAUGCCUUCGGGUUGUAAACCUCUUUCAGCAGGGAAGAAGCGAAAGUGACGGUACCUGCAGAAGAAGCGCCGGCUAACUACGUGCCAGCAGCCGCGGUAAU